AACCCCAUUGUCCAGCUUCUUCUUCUUCAAUUGAAAACCAGUGAAAACCACAGACCCUCCCCCAUCGAUCUUCUUCAUCAACAACCAAACCAAAAAUCCCUCACCCUUCAGCCGCAACCCAUCAGAAAGUAGAGAGAACGAGCCUGCCCCCCUACCAUCAAGAACACCCAGGUACAAACGCAUACAUAUACAAAGUUGGGAACGACCAGAUCUGAAUUAAAAAAUGAGAAGGCUGGGUUGAGUCGAGUUCGUCGAGGUUGUCGCUCAUAGUUCAAGUUUCCGUCGGCAUCUCAUGCGUAUUCUAUUUGGAAGAAAUUUAUAAUUGGAAAGGCUCAGCUACAGAGAAAACAACGGAUUCAUCGAGGUUUAGAUCAAAAAGUUCGUUUGUUUGGUUGGCUGAUUUUGAGAUCCUAUUUCGUUGUACCUGGCAGAAAAUUGUGGCAAGAAAGGUUUAUCCCUCUCUUGCUCUUAAUUUUAAUAGUUCUAUUGUGAUGCUUGUAUGUGAAAUUAUUUAUUUUAACAUAGUUGAUUAUUUUAAUUUGACCGAAUGAAUCAUUGUUGGUUUGCUACAUUGCUGGCUGAAUAUUAGCUGACUCAAAUCUAGAUAAUUGAGAAGGAGGACAAGAAUGAAUUUGCUUAAUAUGAGUAAUCAGAUGUGUGGUAUUUGGUUCUUUAACCUUGAAAAUAUUGAUAUUUAUGUUCUCAUGUGAUAAAAGAGCUUUUGAGCAAUGCACCUAAGAUAACUAGGAUUUACUGUUUCAAACUAAUAUGAUUUUACUGUAAGCGUAUCUUGUGGAUGUAGAAUUCAGCGUGGCAAGAGUGGUCUCUUGUAUUUUCUUUUUUUCCACGCUGCUGGCAUACUCAUUUCCCAGCUCGUAUUUGACUGUCUUUCUUCUCUCUUGCCUGCUUGUAAUUGUCCCACUUAUUUAACUUUCAUAGAAUUGUCCUUUUCUGGAGUUGGACUUCAAAAAAAAAAAGAAAUUGUUUAAUAUGUGAAUGAGUCUAGCUAGAAUGCCUUACCGAUAUGUAUUUCGACUGUUUCACUUUAUUUGUUUGCCUGGGAACCUACAUAUGAUCGCUGUAUUCUUUGUUUUACUAACUGGAUAAGCAAACUUCCCGGCGCGCAAUUAAAUUAUUACAACUACGGGUACGGUUCUCGUGACUUGGUUGUGAUACUUAGUUUUUUAAAUAAGAUAUAAGUAGGAGCAUUUUUAAUUUGCCUUUACAAAAUGUGAAUACAAGUCUUUUCUUUUAAAAAUAAUUUGAGGUGCGCCAUACACAAAUAAAAUCCUAUAGCCUAUGGCCCUCAUGGUUUCAAAAACAAGAAAUUUUAGACAAUUAGUUGAGGUGUGCCCUACUUAGCAAAUAUAGUUAUGGCCCUUUAGAGUUUAAUAUUGGGCUUCUUUUAAAAAUUGGAUUCGAGGUGUGCCGUGACAAACAAAAAUGACAAUUGCAUGGCUCUGGCUUAAUUAAUUUUGUUUUAAUCCUUAGACAUCGAGGCGUGCCAUUUAGCGAAUUUCCAUGGCCCUCGCGAACUUGAAAGUGUGGAGUUGCUUUAGGCACGUUAUUUUAAUAAUUUACCUUCCUAAACUCGGGUGCGCAUUUAUGUGACCCAAAUUCAAAUUUCAACGAUGCUAAAAUAUGUCGAAGACCGGUGCAUUUAUGUGACGUGAUUCAAGACAUGUUUUAACAACGUUGCAAUAUUCCUAAAAUGAUUAAAAACGGUUGAAGUUUUAAAAAUGCACAUAGGUUUAAAAUGUUUAAAAUCAGAUAAUUAAGCCAAUAAUAACAGUUGAGCGACCGUGCUAGAACCACGGAACUCGAGAAUGCCUAACAUCUUCUCCCGGGUUAACAGAAUUCUUUACUCGGAUUUCUGUGUGCGCGGACUGUAAUACAGAGCCAAUCUUUUCCUCGAUUCGGGAUUUGAACCGGUGACUUGGGACACCAUAAAAUUAUCCCAAGUGGCGACUCUGAAUUUAAUAAAUAAAUAAUCCCGUUUCGAUUGUCACUUAAAGUUGGAAAAAACUCCCCUUAUAUACUCCCUUCUACGGGGUGUAGGAAAAAAGGAGGUGUGACAAUAGGUGAGCAAGAACAUCAAAAAUGCAAUCGGGUAUAUGAUGUAAUAAGCUCGCAUCUUUAUAAGAGUCAGAUGGCCUCACCUAAGCACUACUACGAAAGACUAGCUGAGGAAAUAAGGGAUAAAGCUUUAACUUAAGCAUAGUAACUCGAAAAAGAAAUGAUCUUGUAACAACAGUCUCACUACAACAUUUUAUGCACUCCAUAAUAAAGUGGCACCUAUCGUGACUAAUGAACAGGAAGUGAAAAAUGAUAUUUGAGAUCAUACGAGUUUCAGGAAAUUCCAGUAUUCGUGGGCACUAUGAUAAACCAAGUAUCCAUGUAGCAAGUGGCAGAACGACCAGGAAAAGUAAUUACAUACAUUUAAUGACAACUGGAAGGCACAGAAGGAAACUUAUGGUACUAGCAAGUUAAAGGAAGGUUGCGAGUAGGUCGCAAUCUAUAGUAUGGUAGAGCGACUAUUUUUUGGUAGAUAGGAGUAAGGAUAAGAAAAGGUGAGUGAAAAUGUGACAAGAAUAGGUAGGGCCUCGAAAUUAAGCCCAUUAAAAUAAGAGAGCUGAUGGUUUCUAUAAGUUAUUGAAAGCUAAGUAUAGCCUGAAUGAACUCGAUGGAGUCUAAGACUAGGUGCAUUUAGAAGAGAUGGAACGCUUCCCUGGUUGUAGAAUAAGGGUGUAAUUGUGAUAGAUAAGAGGAUGACGCUUAGGCCUUUGAUUGAGUAAUGAUUUAAAGAAAAGGUAUUUCAUGAAUUGCACUAGGUUAGAAUACCCCCACGAGAUGAAUCACAUUGGAUACUAUGAAAUACGGUUAUUGAAGUAUAGUAUUGUCCCCUAGGUGGAUCAGGCAAAUAACUUCAUUUGUUCCCCGAUGAGACAUGAGCCCUAGUGACAUUGUAUUACGUAAGAGGUCUCAAGUUAUCAGUGGUAGAUUAUAGAUUAACAUUAAAGUGAAUCAACAUUAGAUGGAUGAAAAUUCCAAAGUAUGAGAGGAGAUUAGGAUGUCAUUCUCUAGAUGAACGGUAAUAAGGAAGCAUUAAAGGACUUAGAUUUAUAUAUAUAGGAUAAUCAGGGAGAGAGUAACCUGGAGUUGGGUAGCAGACCUCGGUAAUAAUAAACUGAAGUAAGAGUUAUGGUAUAGUACGACCUACCGAGAUGUAGUAAAUCCAUAAGCAUAGAUAAUCGAGGCUAUUACACCCUGAAAUAUUACGUUGAUAUUACAUCCUGCAAUACUACAUUACGAUGAUAUUAUGCUUUGCAGUAUUAAAUUACGACGAUAUUGCACCUUGUAGUAUUGUACGUUGAAUUUAUCAUAAGUUAUUUGACAUCAGUCCAAAGAAAAGAUUACUUGGAGAUUAUAAGGAUUAUGUUAUUUCAAACAAGUGAUGAGUAAAUUCAUGAAGGUGAGAGGGGAAACAAGUCAAAGAAAAUAAAUUUUCGUCCAAGUUUGGCAUGUUGGGAUAAAAUAUGGGCCGAGCAUUAAUACCCGAUAUUUAUGGACUAGUACCAUACGAGGUACCAUAUGGAUAUGAUAGUAUGAUAUAUAAAAGGGUAUUAAAAAUAAAUAGAAUCUUAAGUAAUUUGAGACAUUUCUUAAUUAUGUGAGUAAUUGGUUAAUUAUCGGGUAGCGGAAUAUUACCUAAUUAAAUAAUUAAUUUUCUAAUAAGAUUUAAAACCCCUCCCCCACCCCAUGUGGAAGCAAGCCACCACCCAAACCAAAUGACUCAUUAGUCAUGUUGGGUUAGGUGGGAACUAGUAAAAGUAUAAGCCUUGAAAUUCAAAACAAGGCUACAUAACCUUCAACAAAUUAAAGAUUCAUAUAUCCAUCAUUUGAGGGAAUAGAAAAGGGCUCUUCAUGGGACCAUUUAAAUCCAGCAAAAACAUAACAUAAAGCCAACGUUGAAAGCAAAAUUGAAGUUAACAUAGAUGGGUUCAGAUCUUUAAUAGAUCGAACAGAGAUUUUGCGAUUCUAACAGAGUACAGUGCAACCUUUUCCAAGAACAUCAUACGAAUUUUCCCAACUCCAUGUAUGUUAAGGCUAAGCCCUUCCUUCAUUUUGGCAUGAUCUCAUAAUUACAUGAGUUGGUAACGAGGCAUAAAGAAAAAUUCAUAUCCCGAAAUUUACGUAUAUUUUCCUAGUUUUGUAAGUUACAAUAUUGUCCUUAUCGAGACUUCAUAUUCCAUUAUAUAUUUCCUUCUUCCAGUCAAUAGAGCAGAGAGUCUAUAUAUACAGUAUUACAGUAUUUUCAUUACCAUCGAGCUAUAAUCGAUGGGCAGGCCCCUAUUGGGAAACCUCUGAUCAAAUGGUAAGUUAAAUACCAAGCCUACUGUAGCCAAGCGCCUAUGAGAGAGCCCAGUUGGUCGAGAUACAGAGACUAGUAUGGCCGGGCGCCUAUGAGCGAGCGUACUAUGGUAGAGCAGUUAUAUAUAUGUAUAUAUAUAUAUAUACACACUCAUACACCAAGCCUUAUAGGGCCAGACAAUUAUUUUACUUACUAUAUUGAGAGAGUUGAGUCAUUAUCAGCAUGAAAACAUAUCCUCAGAUUAUCUUUGACUUCCAGUUACUUUCAGUUAUUAUAUUAUUAGUUUAGUUUCAGCUUUCAGUAUAUUGUCUUACAUACUCGGUACAUUAUUUUGUACUGACGUCCCUUUUCUAGGGGCACUACAUUUCAUGCGUGCAGGUUCAGACAGACAUGCACGUAGACCACCUCAUUAAGCAUUGUCCGAGUUCAGCUUGAUCGGUAAGCUCAAUGCCUUUCGG
rnacentral:lncRNA from 1 species